CAUCGGCAGUGAGGGCUCCCAUCUCUCAUUUCUCAAAGAGCCGAGACUUUCAGCGAGGCCACUUGCCAUUCCUGGAAGAAGAGCUUCAAGCUUUUAGACAUCUGCCACCUGAAUCUGGCAGAGGCUCAAGCUUUUAAAGCACAGUGCCGGGUUCAGCAGUUCAGCACUUUAGUUAUGCCUGUAAGGAAGAUGGAAAAUUGAAGUACACUCUGAUGUCUCCCGAAGUCCCCUAUGGGUAAAGAAAAACAAAUAUGAUUUCUCCAAGUCAUCUUGGUGUCUCUGUCCUCUUGCCUUUCUCUGGGAAAUAAAUUUAAGUGAACGGUCGAGCAUCGCGCCUGCCAAAAAUGGGGGCGUCUCCAUCAGAGCUCGAUUCAAAUGCCAACUACCCCGGGCUCUGUUCUGUUAAAGGUCACCUGUCAUUGUCCACCCGAGGCAUGGAGAUUGCUUUGGAGCUCUGAUUUCCAUGGCGGGGAAGGCAUGUUUAUCUUCUCCAAUGUCUUAUUCACCGCUGGCUUAGGCCGAACUGUUACCGGUUGAGUACAACCCACUGGGCCCCUAAUAAGAGCUUGGAAUCCACAGGAGGGAAAGAAAUUGAGAUGCGCUUUGCCAAUGAAGAGUUGUAAACCUUAAAGGUAGGCAAAGAGAAGUCUUUUCAGGAGGGGAAAUUUCCUGCCUGUGAAGGUUCUCAGACACUACAGCAGGAAAUGGAGAACAGUCAUCCCUUUGUCUCCAAAGGACAUGUUUACCCAGAAUGCUGUGCUGAGAGCAGGGGAUGGCAAAGGGACCCUGGAAACCUCUCCCUGACCUCCAAGAGUCAGCAGGAAAGUUGAACCAGCAAUGCAGGCUGGACUGGGGGGCUCUUAGAAAGCUCUUAGGAAAAAAUGUUAAGUGGUAAAUAAACUGAGUUUCAGUAUACUGC
rnacentral:lncRNA from 1 species